GCCCAGCCAGUAUGAGUGGAUAUGACCCUCGGCUUUUAACCGAGUGGGUUCGGGUUCGAAUCCCGAGUAAGGCA
rnacentral:tRNA from 1 species